GUUUCCUGGGGAUAAAGGACAGACACAAAAACAACUCCUGGUGAGUGUACACCACAGAAGUUCCUGUUCAACAAAAGGGAUGUGAAAUGAGCUUUACUUGGCUUGAAUUCUCAGAGGAUGCCUCUCCUUUUCAGGGGGGAUAUUUCUGAAGACAUCUUUUAAUAGAAGAGGAAUACUGGUCAGAGGGCCGUGCUGAAGUUUGCUGCUGCCACUGGAGCCACUCCAAUUACUAGCCGCUUUACUCCUGGAACCUUCAUCAACCAGAUCCAGGCAGCCUUCCGGGAGCCAUGGCUGCUUGUGAUUACCGACCCAAGGGCUGACCACCAGCCUCUCUCAGAGGCGUCUUAUGUUAACCUACCUACCAUUGCUCUGUGUAACAGAGAUUCUCCUCUGCGCUAUGUGGACAUUGCCAUCCCAUGCAACAACAAGGGAGCUCACUCAGUGGGUUUGAUGUUGUGGAUGCUGGCUCAGGCAGUUUCGCGCAUGCGUGGCACCAUUUCCGUGAACACCCGUGGGAGGUCAUGCCUGAUCUCUACUUCUACAGAGAUCCUGAAGAGAUUGAAAAAGAAGAGCAGACUGCUGCUGAAAAGGCUGUGACCAAGGAGGAAUUUCAGGGCGAAUGGACUGCUCUGGCUCCUGAGUUCACUGCUACUCAGCCUGAGGUUGCUGACUGGUCUGAAGGCAUACAGGUGCCCUCUGUGCCUAUCCAGCAGUUCCCUACUGAAGACUGGAGUGCCCAGCCUGCCACAGAGGGCUAGUCUGCAGCUCCCACUGCUCAGGCCACUGAAUGGUCUUAAGCUGUUCUUGUGUAGCCUCUUACACAACAUAUAAGAUUCAUGGAAAAUAAACAUCGAAUUUCUAAAAAAUAAAAUAAAAUAAAAAUAAAAAUAAAACACUUCGUUCUUCCUUUA